rnacentral:tRNA from 1 species
GGCCUUAUAGUGUAAUGGUAGCACUUCUAGUUCUAAAUUAGAAGGUUAUAGGUUCAACUCCUAUUAUAGCUA